CAGGCAGAGGAGGCGCUGAGAGCGAGCAAGGGCUCUGAGGACUGUCAGCACGCUGUCACCUCUCACUAUUGUGAGACUUCACGUUGUGAUGGUCAAUCUAUCUAACAGCCUGUGGAUGAGGUCAAAGGAAAGAGGGAAGAAAGGAGAAAGGGGAGAAGGAAAGAACUUGAGGCUUUGAUGACCGUUGGAAUGCAGAGAAGCUAUGAGAAAAGAGCUACAAGAGAAAAAUGGCAGCAUUGCAAAGUGCAAGAACACUGAAGGGAUUAAACAGCAUUCUAGAAAACAAGACAGACCAUGAAGAGUAUGGGAAGAAACAGGAAGGCCUAUUUCCCGGUACCAUACCCAGAAGCUGUAUAAUAGGUGAUAUACAUUUGAGACCCAGGAGACUCAGCAUAUGGUGAAGGUUCACAGAGACACGUGCAGAUGGAGAAUACCACUGCUAAACUGGCAACACUUGGUUAAACACCAGAAUGGAUUACAUACAAUCAAUGCGAGGAACCUGGAAAUCAAGGCUGGAAAGAAGCCUUAAGUAAGGCAAUUUGUCUAGAGAUGAAACAUGAGAAGAAGGCCAGAGUAAGGAGGGGUGUCAAAACCUAGCAGAGGAGUUAAUAGGCAAUAUUGUUAUCAGAAAGGAAAGUAUUACAGGGAAUUAUGAUCCAGUCAAUUAGUAGGGUCAGUACAAAGCAGCAGCAAGAAAUGUUUGUUUAGGAGAAAUAAGCCACUUGCGUAGAAGAGGUAUCGGUUGCUAAGGAAGAUCAUGAUAUGACAAAUAAGAAAGUAAGAUUGAAGACAAAGAUCGAAGAACAAGGAACAGAAGCUAGCAAUGGUUUAGAGAAGUCUUUAGACAAAAGCCUGUGGAAAGAAACGGGUGUGAGGGUGAAAGGU
rnacentral:lncRNA from 1 species